rnacentral:rRNA from 1 species
CUUAGUGGCGGACGGGUGAGUAACGCGUGGGCAACCUGCCCCGUGCCGGGGGAUACCGCCUGGAAACAGGCGCUAAUACCGCAUAAGCGCAUACAGCCGCAUGGCAGUAUGCGGAAAGCUCCGGCGGCACGGGAUGGGCCCGCGCCCGAUUAGCCAGUUGGCGGGGUAACGGCCCACCAAAGCGACGAUCGGUAGCCGGCCUGAGAGGGCGGACGGCCACAUUGGGACUGAGACACGGACCAAACUCCUACGGAAGGCAGCAG